GUAGGGAAUAUUGGGCAAUGGUCGGAAGACUGACCCAGCCAUGCCGCGUGCAGGAAGACGGCCCUCUGGGUUGUAAACUGCUUUUAUCUGGGAAGAAAAAGGCCAUGCGUGGCAAAUUGCCGGUACCAGAUGAAUAAGCACCGGCUAACUCCGUGCCAGCAGCCGCGGUAAUACGGAGGGUGCGAGCGUUGUCCGGAUUUAUUGGGUUUAAAGGGUGCGUAGGCGGCUGAUUAAGUCAGCGGUGAAAGACUUCGGCUUAACCGGAGCAGUGCCGUUGAUACUGGUUGGCUUGAGUGUCGGAGGGGUACAUGGAAUUGAUGGUGUAGCGGUGAAAUGCAUAGAUACCAUCAGGAACACCGAUAGCGAAGGCAUUGUACUGGCCGACAACUGACGCUGAUGCACGAAAGUGUGGGGAUCGAACAGGAUUAGAAACCCUUGUGGUCC
rnacentral:rRNA from 1 species